AGUGGUUAAGCAUUUGGCUGCUAACCAAAAGGUUGGUGGUUCAAACCCACCAGCCGCCC
rnacentral:tRNA from 1 species